GAGGCUAUAGCUCAGUGGUAGAGCACGUGCUUAGCAUGCACAAGGUCCUGGGUUCAAUCUCCAGUACCUCCA
rnacentral:tRNA from 1 species